UUAUUGCCUUGCCUUAUGGUUUAUGUUUAUGAGGUCAUCAUUAUGUUCUGGUCACUAGCGCAGAAUAAGGUCCAUUUAUUUAUUUAGUUUUUAAAAUAUAAUUUUUUUUCAAAAAAGGGGGGAGAAAAUGUAACCUUUGUGAUUGGUUUACCUUUUCUUUAAUUCUAGGGUGGGUAUAUGGCUGCCAAGGUCCAGAAAUUGGAGGAACAGUUUCGAUCAGAUGCUGCUAUGCAGAAGGAUGGGACUUCAUCUACAAUUUUUAGUGGAGUUGCCAUCUAUGUUAAUGGAUACACAGAUCCUUCCGCUGAGGAAUUGAGAAAACUAAUGAUGUUGCAUGGAGGUCAAUACCAUGUAUAUUAUUCCAGAUCUAAAACAACACAUAUUAUUGCCACAAAUCUUCCCAAUGCCAAAAUUAAAGAAUUAAAGGGGGAAAAAGUAAUUCGACCAGAAUGGAUUGUGGAAAGCAUCAAAGCUGGACGACUCCUCUCCUACAUUCCAUAUCAGCUGUACACCAAGCAGUCCAGUGUGCAGAAAGGUCUCAGCUUUAAUCCUGUAUGCAGACCUGAGGAUCCUCUGCCAGGUCCAAGCAAUAUAGCCAAACAGCUCAACAACAGGGUAAAUCACAUCGUUAAGAAGAUUGAAACGGAAAAUGAAGUCAAAGUCAAUGGCAUGAACAGUUGGAAUGAAGAAGAUGAAAAUAAUGAUUUUAGUUUUGUGGAUCUGGAGCAGACCUCUCCGGGAAGGAAACAAAAUGGAAUUCCGCAUCCCAGAGGGAGCACUGCCAUUUUUAAUGGACACACUCCUAGCUCUAAUGGUGCCUUAAAGACACAGGAUUGCUUGGUGCCCAUGGUCAACAGUGUUGCCAGCAGGCUUUCUCCAGCCUCUUCCCAGGAGGAGGAUAAGGCUGAGAAGAGCAGCACUGAUUUCAGAGACUGCACUCUGCAGCAGUUGCAGCAAAGCACCAGAAACACAGAUGCUUUGCGGAAUCCACACAGAACUAAUUCUUUCUCAUUAUCACCUUUGCACAGUAACACUAAAAUCAAUGGUGCUCACCACUCCACUGUUCAGGGGCCUUCAAGCACAAAAAGCACUUCUUCAGUGUCUACUUUUAGCAAGGCAGCACCUUCAGUGCCAUCCAAACCUUCAGACUGCAAUUUUAUUUCAAACUUCUAUUCUCAUUCAAGACUGCAUCACAUAUCAAUGUGGAAGUGUGAAUUGACUGAGUUUGUCAAUACCCUACAAAGACAAAGUAAUGGUAUCUUUCCAGGAAGGGAAAAGUUAAAAAAAAUGAAAACAGGCAGGUCUGCACUUGUUGUAACUGACACAGGUAGAUACUUAUUAAAAUUGUCUUCUU
rnacentral:sRNA from 1 species